AUUGAACGCUGGCGGCAUGCCUUACACAUGCAAGUCGAACGGUAACGGGCCUUCGGGUGCCGACGAGUGGCGAACGGGUGAGUAAUGUAUCGGAACGUACCUUUCAGUGGGGGAUAACGUAGCGAAAGUUACGCUACUACCGCAUAUUCUGUGAGCAGGAAAGCAGGGGAUCGCAAGACCUUGCGCUGAUUGAGCGGCCGAUAGCAGAUUAGCUAGUUGGUGAGGUAAAGGCUCACCAAGGCGACGAUCUGUAGCGGGUCUGAGAGGAUGAUCCGCCACACUGGAACGGAGACACGGUCCAGACUCCUACGGGAGGCAGCAGUGGGGAAUUUUGGACAAUGGGGGCAACCCUGUUCCAGCCAUGCCGCGUGAGUGAAGAAGGCCUUCGGGUUGUAAAGCUCUUUCGGCCGGGAAGAAAUCGCACGGGCUAAUACCCUGUGUGGAUGACGGUACCGGAAUAAGAAGCACCGGCUAACUACGUGCCAGCCGCCGCGGUAAGAC
rnacentral:rRNA from 1 species